GGAGGUACCUAUCCAGUGGACCAUUUUCAGAUAGGGUCUUGUAGACCCCCCUGGAGGCAGAGAUUUUUUUAUUUGGAUUUAUUUUAUUUCUUUUCCUUUUCCUACCUUUUUCCCGGGGCUCGACAUGAUGGUCAGGAGCUGGUUUUUGGGGCAGAGAGGGGACUCAAGUGGGCGGCUCUCGGGGGGCAGAUUGGACGGGAUACGACUGGCUUGCUGAGGAAGACAGGAACAGAAGAAAAACAGAGGAGAAAAGAAGAAAAGGGAAGGGAGGAAGGAGGACUUUUGGGCAGCAGAGGACGUCCGCAAGAGGAUCCGCCGAGAGAGAAGAAAGGAAAGUUUUAUGGUCGCCAUUUGGUCUAUGAAUUCAUUGUGGCUAGCUCGUUUAUUUUCCUCGGGAUGAUUUGAGAGCAACUCGGCUCUGUUUCUGUUGCACUAUACUUCAUGGGAGAGUUUUGUUUUUGUCCUCGCUCCCGUGGAAUGCAUCCGGAUCCACCCACCUACAGCGAAGCCCAUGGAUCCAAGCGCGAAACAUAGGUUUGUUUGCCUUAGUUGUUUGGUCAGCUGGUGCCCUCCUUUUUAUUUUCUUGUAGUUUCCUCUCCUUCCCCUGUUUCUGAUGUCCAUCUAAGGGGAGCCAGGCAAUGGAUUUAAAUCGAUAAAAGGGUUCUGGACCCAUCAAACUUGAGGAAUCAGUUGCCCAGACAUUUCGUUGUCGGAGAGAAUACCAACCCCGAAGUCGAGAGUGCCUUGAAGGAUCCAUACUUGAACCCUGCCCUUCAAGCGGACGUCACUGGCACUCGAAAGGCUGCUGCCAUGCAUAUCCCCAACAGUCCCUUUUGUUCAGCAGCCCCAUAGCCGUGCACCCAUGUUCCCGGCAUGGCCGUUACCCUCACCUUUCUUCCCCAUCACCUUUUCUUCCUCUAGUCGCCAUACCCAUUUCCGCAAGGGCUCCCAAAGCCACUCUUCUGCACGCGUGGGAUCCAAGCAGGCAAGCUGCCUCCGCCAUCUCCCUCCUCAUUAUUCGCCAUCGCCCUCGCCGUCUCCAUCGGCGGCACGUCUGCCAGAGGCCCGGAGAGCUUCGCAACUUUCCAUGCACGCCGGCCUUCCCUCCCUGCGUCUUCUUGCUGUGCGCACCACGUCGGCGAGGCGCUGGCUCGCCUCACCAACCGCCAUCACCCGCUCCGGCUAGGUGAGCACUCGCAUCAGCCACCAUGACGACGACACUUUCUGGAUACCGUCGAACCGCUGCCACGGCUCCUCUCUCCACCUUGCUGCUGGCCAUGAAGGCUUCCUCUGAGGAUGGUGUGCGUUUAGAGGGGGGUAAGCUAGGAAGAAGAUGGAGUUUCGGGCUUGGGUUUGGGAUGGGUUUUUGAGCCCGCCCAUGGUAGCUUUGGAUUUGGGUUGGAGCACCAAGCCCAAGUUUGUGAACAAGUAAGCCCUCCAGGCUGCCCAAUUCCUAAAUAAUCAUUUUUUUAAAAAUAAAACAAA